AUUGAACGCUGGCGGCAGGCCUAACACAUGCAAGUCGAACGAGUGGCGGACGGGUGAGUAAUGUCUGGGAAACUGCUGGAUGGAGGGGGAUAACUACUGGAAACGGUUGCUAAUACCGCAUACCAUCAGCGGUGACCAGAUGGGAUUUGCGAGGUGGUGGGGUAACGGCUCACCAAGGCGACGAACACUAGCUGGUCUGAGAGGAUGACCAGCCACACUGGAACUGAGACACGGCCCAGACUCCUACGGGAGGCAGCAGUGGGGAAUAUUGGACAAUGGGCGAAAGCCUGAUGCAGCCAUGCCGCGUGUAUGAAGAAGGCCUUCGGGUUGUAAAGUACUUUCAGCGGGGAGGCGUUACCCGCAGAAGAAGCACCGGCUAACUCCGUGCCAGCAGCCGCGGUAAUUC
rnacentral:rRNA from 1 species